UUAACGACUGUGCCAUCCAGGCACCCCUGCAUGGUUUUUUUCUAAUAUUGUCCUCACUGAAAAAAGCUCAGACCAAGGAGCAGAAAAGAAGUUUAGUAAGUGGUUCCUAUGGAGACACUGAUGCUUGAUCUACCCAGUUACCUCUGUGUUCAAUUACUGAUGGUCUGUCGCAACUUGACAGAACCGAGAGGGGGUGACAUGCCAAGCAGCCACGUAGGAGCCCGUGUGGAAGAGGACAAAUCCCCAUUCUGCUCAUGAGUCAGCCACUCCGUCAAGACGAAAGUUAGAAACAAAGCAGAUUUGGGAGGCUACAAUCAAGGUCAUUUGAGAAGUAGGACCCAGUGUAUUACCAUUACCUAUGGGCAUCCACAAAGAAAUUUACAGACGUGGGAAAGGCUAGAUAAUGAGAAUGCUCCAUAAGGAGGCACUGAAUUUCACCAGGGAGAAAUGCAUCUAAGUUGCUUCACAAACGUUAAGAAAUAUACCUACAUAAUUGUAUGUUCCAUUUUCCAUGGUCUUUUCUUUGUUCAUUUCAUGUGCAGUGAUUAAAAAGAUAUAUUGUACAUUUUAUUAUCUCUUAUGUUUUCCAAUAAAUACAAACCUGGAGUGCUUUUUUUUCUUUUUCAUUCUUCUCAGAGGUGUGGUGAACAUUGAAUAAGAUAAUAAUUU